UACGGAGGCAGCAGUGGGGAAUAUUGGACAAUGGGCGAAAGCCUGAUCCAGCAAUGCCGCGUGAGUGAUGAAGGCCUUAGGGUUGUAAAGCUCUUUUACCCGGGAUGAUAAUGACAGUACCGGGAGAAUAAGCUCCGGCUAACUCCGUGCCAGCAGCCGCGGUAAUACGGAGGGAGCUAGCGUUGUUCGGAAUUACUGGGCGUAAAGCGCACGUAGGCGGCUUUGUAAGUUAGAGGUGAAAGCCUGGAGCUCAACUCCAGAAUUGCCUUUUAAGACUGCAUCGCUUGAAUCCAGGAGAGGUGAGUGGAAUUCCGAGUGUAGAGGUGAAAUUCGUAGAUAUUCGGAAGAACACCAGUGGCGAAGGCGGCUCACUGGACUGGUAUUGACGCUGAGGUGCGAAAGCGUGGGGAGCAAACAGGGGUUAGAUACC
rnacentral:rRNA from 1 species